GUUUGAAAAUUCUUCUUUGAAGUAUUCAUUUUCAUUGUUCUUAUAUGAGCUGGUUUUACUGAUUAUUUUUUUUGCAUUUGGUAUUUCUCCUUUGCUUCCAGUUUACAUUGAUUCAAUUGGUUGCAUACUCUUUGUUUAUCUUUGUAAUUGGAACAUUUUCUUUUCAUUGUAUUUCUUUUUUUCUUGGUGCACCACUUUUUGAAAACUUCAUUCAAACGCUUUUGUUUUCGUGUUUAUUAUCUUCACUUGCCAUUUUUCCUCUAAGUGUAGUCCACAAAGGAAAAUGGGAAGUAAUGGUUGAUGAUUUAGCUAAUUCAAUAGAUAUAAAAAGCUGCUUGGCAGAUUCACUGAAGUUCAUAUCUUGUUCAACAAUAAUUGGUGGAUGGCUUGGAGCAUUUCCAAUACCCUUGGAUUGGGAUCGCGAUUGGCAGACUUGGCCUAUUACAUGCACUGUCGGUGCUAUAGCUGGCAACUUAGGCGGACUUUGGUGUGUCAUAUUUGCUAGUUCUGGUCUUGUUGAUUCAAUAAAGCAAAAAAUUAUGUGAUUCUUGCUGAAACCUAACGAGGUUUAUCUCGCUCACUCAGAUUCUUCGUCUAUACUGUUUGC
rnacentral:misc_RNA from 1 species